rnacentral:rRNA from 1 species
UCAAGUUAUUAAGGGUGCAGGGCGGAUGCCUUGGCACUAGGAGCCGAUGAAGGACGUGAUAAGCUGCGAUAAGCUUCGGGGAGUUGCACGUAAACUUUGAUCCGAAGAUUUCCGAAUGAGGAAACUCACUUAGAGUAAUGUCUAAGUAUCAUUAAGUGAAUACAUAGCUUAAUGAGGGGAACUCAGGGAACUGAAACAUCUAAGUACCUGAAGGAAGAGAAAGAAAUUCGAUUCCGUAAGUAGCGGCGAGCGAACGCGGAUUAGCCCAAACCAAUAAAGUUUUCUUUAUUGGGGUUGCGGACAUAUCAUAACGGAGAGGUAUCGUAAUUGAAGAGGUUUGGAAAGACCCACCACAGAAGGUAAUAGUCCUGUAUGUUAAACGAGAAUACUUUAGAUAUGAUCCAGAGUACCACGGGACACGUGAAACCCUGUGGGAAGCAGGAGGGACCACCCUCCAAGGCUAAAUACUACCUAGUGACCGAUAGCGUAUAGUACCGUGAGGGAAAGGUGAAAAGAACCCCGGGAGGGGAGUGAAAUAGAACCUGAAACCCUGCACUUACAAGCUGUGGAAGCACAUUUCUUGUGUGACCGCGUACUUUUUGUAGAACGGGCCAACGAGUUACGUUAAGUAGCAAGGUUAAGCACUUAAGGUGUGGAGCCGUAGCGAAAGCGAGUUUUAACUGAGCGUUCAGUUACUUGACGUAGACCCGAAACCGGGCGACCUACCCAUGAGCAGGAUGAAGCGAAAGUAAAAUUUCGUGGAGGUCCGAACCCACGAGCGUUGAAAAGCUCGGGGAUGACUUGUGGGUAGCGGUGAAAUUCCAAUCGAGCCCGGAGAUAGCUGGUUCUCCCCGAAAUAGCUUUAGGGCUAGCCUCAAGGUGAGAGAUACGGAGGUAGAGCACUGAAUGUCCUAGGGGGUAUUGCACCUACCGAAGACUAUCAAACUCCGAAUGCCGUCAUCUUAUACUUGGGAGUCAGACUGUGGGUGAUAAGAUUCAUAGUCGAAAGGGCAACAGCCCAGAUCGUCAGCUAAGGUCCCUAAAUGUAAGUUAAGUGGUAAAGGAUGUGGGAUUGCACAGACAACCAGGAUGUUGGCUUAGAAGCAGCCACUCAUUCAAAGAGUGCGUAAUAGCUCACUGGUCGAGUGAUCCUGCGCCGAAGAUUUCCGGGGCUAAAACUUACUACCGAAGCUACGGCAUCAGUAAUGAUGGGUAGGGGAGCUUCCCAUACGGGUUGAAGCAUGACCGUAAGGACAUGUGGACAGUAUGGGAGUGAGAAUGUUGGCAUGAGUAGCGAGAUGUGGGUGAGAAUCCCACAGGCCGUAAACCCAAGGUUUCCAGGGGAAGGUUCGUCCGCCCUGGGUUAGUCGGGACCUAAGCUGAGGCCGAAAGGCGUAGGUGAUGGACAACAGGUUGAUAUUCCUGUACUACCGAUAACCGUUUGAGAGAAGGGAUGACACAGUAGGAUAAGCUAAGCACACUGUUGGUUAUGUGUGCCCAAGCAUUGAGGCAGUCAAAGUAGGCAAAUCCGCUUUGAUAAUGCUGGGAUGUGAUGGGGAGCGAAAUUUAGUAGCGAAGUAGCUGAUUUCACACUGUCAAGAAAAGUCUCUAUCGAGGUUAAAGGUACCCGUACCGCAAACCGACACAGGUGGGUGAGGAGAGUAUCCUAAGGCCAGCGAGAGAACUGUUGUUAAGGAACUCGGCAAAAUGACCCCGUAACUUAGGGAUAAGGGGUGCCACCAUCAGGUGGCCGCAGAGAAUAGGCCCAAGCGACUGUUUACCAAAAACAUAGGUUUCUGCUAAGUCGCAAGACGAUGUAUAGGAGCUGACGCCUGCCCGGUGCUGGAAGGUUAAGGGGAUCUGUUAGAGCAAUCGAAGCAGUGAACUUAAGCCCCAGUAAACGGCGGCCGUAACUAUAACGGUCCUAAGGUAGCGAAAUUCCUUGUCGGGUAAGUUCCGACCCGCACGAAAGGCGUAACGAUUUGGGCACUGUCUCAACAACAGACUCGGUGAAAUUGUAAUUCCGGUGAAGAUGCCGGAUACCUGCGACAGGACGGAAAGACCCCAUGGAGCUUUACUGUAGCUUGACAUUGGGUCUUGGUACUACAUGUACAGGAUAGGUGGGAGGCUUUGAAACCAGGACGCCAGUUUUGGCGGAGCCAUCCUUGGGAUACCACCCUUGUAGUACUGGGACUCUAACCAUAGGCCAUGAAUCUGGUCUUGGGACACUGUCAGGUGGGCAGUUUGACUGGGGCGGUCGCCUCCCAAAAGGUAACGGAGGCGCUCAAAGGUUCUCUCAGUACGGUCGGAAAUCGUACGUAGAGUGUAAAGGCAAAAGAGAGCUUGAUUGCAAGACAUACAGGUCGAGCAAGGAUGAAAAUCGGACUUAGUGAUCCGGUGGUUCUGCGUGGAAGGGCCAUCGCUCAACGGAUAAAAGCUACCCUGGGGAUAACAGGCUUAUCUCCCCCAAGAGUCCACAUCGACGGGGAGGUUUGGCACCUCGAUGUCGGCUCAUCACAUCCUGGGGCUGUAGUAGGUCCCAAGGGUUGGGCUGUUCGCCCAUUAAAGUGGUACGCGAGCUGGGUUCAGAACGUCGUGAGACAGUUCGGUCCCUAUCCGUCGCAGGCGUAGGAAAUUUGAGAAGACCUGUCCUUAGUACGAGAGGACCGGGAUGGACGUACCUCUGGUGUACCAGUUGUCCUGCCAAGGGCAUGGCUGGGUAGCUAUGUACGGAAUGGAUAAGCGCUGAAAGCAUCUAAGCGCGAAGCCAACUUCAAGAUAAGAUUUCCCACCGCAAGGGUAAGACCCCAGAAAGACUAUCUGGUUGAUAGGUCGAAGGUGUAAGUGCAGCAAUGUAUUUAGCUUAUCGAUACUAAUAGGUCGAGGACUUGACCAA